rnacentral:antisense_RNA from 1 species
GGUGGCAGAAGUUGCAAGAGAGGAUCCUGGUCUACUCAGGGGCGCCGCCUCUCCGAGUUUUGCGGCCCAAGGCUUGGGCGAAUCAGUUCACAUCAACACCCCUACUAGCCUCUGCCUCCGGGGUCGACCAUUUAUCUCCAGCAGCGGACCAGGCGCCCGGGGCCAGGGUGACAUGCGACGCCCUGCCUACACGCAGCUCGGAUCCUCUGCUGUUUCUGGCGAGGCCUCCACAGGUGGAAGCUCCCUGGAACAACUGCUGGAAUAAGGUUCCAGAGUAGAAGGUGGAAGCUCCCUCUUGGGAUAAAGGAUCCAGAGUGAAAAAAAAAAGUUGCCCUCUGCUGGAAGACAGAAUCUUUGUCCUCUGAGAAAAACAAUCUCCCUUCUUACGGAGGCCAGUGGAUUCCAUCCUAGAGGCUGUGUUGACCGUAUCUCCAAAUAGACAAUAACGAGGCAUCUUGAUUCCCACAACUCCAGC